rnacentral:rRNA from 1 species
CCUACGGGGGGCAGCAGUCGGGAAUAUUGCGCAAUGGGCGAAAGCCUGACGCAGCCAUGCCGCGUGUGUGAAGAAGGCCCUAGGGUUGUAAAGCACUUUCAAUUGGGAGGAAAAGCUAAUGGUUAAUAACCAUUAGCCCUGACGUUACCUUUAGAAGAAGCACCGGCUAACUCCGUGCCAGCAGCCGCGGUAAUACGGAGGGUGCAAGCGUUAAUCGGAAUUACUGGGCGUAAAGCGCGCGUAGGCGGUUUUUUAAGUCGGAUGUGAAAGCCCCGGGCUCAACCUGGGAACUGCAUCCGAUACUGGAUGACUAGAAUGCGGGAGAGGGAGGUAGAAUUCCAUGUGUAGCAGUGAAAUGCGUAGAUAUAUGGAGGAAUACCAGUGGCGAAGGCGGCCUCCUGGCUCGACAUUGACGCUGAGGUGCGAAAGCGUGGGGAGCA